GCAAACCUAUUUUCACACUCAUUUUCUGAUUUCACUGAAAAUGAAAACAACAAAUGGCCAAAGCAAACACACCCUAGUCUCCUUUUUCAGGAAUCUCUGCAUUCAUGUAAGUUUGGUGCUGUUCACACUUCACAGCAAUCAGAGAUGCUCAGACAGCGAACCUUCCAGCUAUAAACAUUCAGUAGCCUGCAAAAGGGAACACAACGUGUACCACAUAACUGGCUUCCCCAAUUUCUAAAGGAGAAAUGGAAUGAAUUGUGACCAUAAAGUUAAAUAUUAGAACCAUGAUACCUAAGCUUAGCACUACUACCAUAUCCCAUUACAGCACUUCAUCAAAAACGGGAGAUUAUUUUAGUCUGGGUUUUGAAAAUGUACAGUAAAUCUUAGAAAUUAAAAACUAACUUAGAAAUUAAAUCCUCGAAUUCCAACAUAGACUUUAGACCUUUGAAUUGCAAAUCAAUUGCAAUAAUAACAAUGGUUAAGCAUUAUUAUGCUAAUUCCUAAAGUCAUACAUCUUUCCAGCAUCUCCCUUUCUAGAGCCCAAUCCCAAUUAUUAUCUUUCCAACCACAAGUAACAGUUCAUAUACAGAUCAGUUUAAAUAUGAAAGAGAGACAGCGGAUCCAGGUAGACUUGAACCACCAUCCUCCCAUACUUUAACCGUUGGGCGCUCUUUCCAAUUUGAGCCUAUGGAUCCAUCAUUGCGGAGAGUAGUUUAUCAGAGGGGAAUUUUUAUAUCAAAUGAAAAAUUCAAUGACAACCAAAAACUUAUCCAACAAAAUUAAGAAACAGGUGCAUAAAGUGGCAAACUUGUGCUUGGUUCUAUCAUCAUUCUGCAGAAAGAUCAAGUUAAUUCACACAAUGCAGUUUCCAGUUACUACAUUAUGGAUUAAAACUUCAGAUUUCAGUUUAAAUUGUGAAUACUUCCAUAACAUACCGUUUAUUACUGGUCACACUACUUACUAGAUUGAAACAGAACUACGAAUGGGCUGAAUCUAGAAGCCGAACUGGUCGGCUCCCUAAAGUUAAUCUCACGGAAAUCCUAUAACUACAGUCUCUUACAUUAUGUUAAGGAAAACCACAAAGCAGGGCGCUAACCUUCACAAGUAUCAAAAGGCACCGAACAUUCUCUAGCAAAUAGAACUAUAAAAUAUAUUUGCAUAUAGAACUAAAAAAAUUAUUUUCCAAAUCAGUACCAACACAAACCGAAUAUUCUCUAGCAAAUAGAACUAUAAAAUCUAAUUGCAUAUAGAACUAGAAAAUUUAUUUUCCAACAUGAAUGAAAAAAAUAAACACACUGAGCAGAGGUUAAUGCCACGCUCCAAAGAACACUAAAGAACAAAGGAUGAAAUUCACUAACAAUAACUGAGGUUUUAAACAUUAGCGAACUUCAGGACUAUCUCAAUAUGACACCACUUUCCAAGUGCAGAAAAUUAAACCUUGAGUAGAAAUACGACAUUCCCAAUAAUUUUGGGACAACAAGAAUUAAAUUACUGACAAUCACUAAGGUUAUAAACAGCAGGUCGGAACUAUCUCAGGAUACAGCAAGACAUGGUCGUUACAGGAAUAAAAUAAUCAUCACAGGAAUAAAGGAAUCGUCACAGGAAUAAAGGAAUCAUCAUGAUGCGGAAGACAAAGCAAAAAUAUCCCGGGAAAACCACAGCAAUCACUCGGUAUAAAAACGAGUGAAUGAAUAUAGACCUACAAACAAGAAAUAGUUAGAAUUAGUGACUAUUUUAAUCACGGAAAACAGUAAAAGGUGACUCCGUGAAAAUAAAUCACCAACUAAACCUAAAAGGAGAAAAAAUGUAUCAACUAACAAUAUAAGAAUUUUAUACUCUUUCAGCACAUUAUCCACCAUUCAUUUUUCAGUAACUACGCAUAAAUGAUGGAGGACUGCAUAAAUUUUUAUGUGACAUUGCAUAAAUAUUACAGUCAACAUUAAAUAGUCGGAAUAAAAAAUUAUGUCAUCUAGAAUAACAACAUAAAAAUCUGUUUAUGGGAAACAAUACAAGGAAACCAACCAUGCCAAACAGCGUAUCCUAGUGUGUAAGCAUCUCAAUGCUAACCUCUUAAAAUGUAUAACUAAACAAUGACAAGUAUAAAGAGAACCAUCACUACGAACUAAACACUAACCCUUUAAUAAUAGAAGCAAAACGUGCAACUCUGCAGUUAAGCUCCUCAAUACCUACAGAGAGUUUUGUUUAGCAAGGGGUCCAACACUGCAGAAAAGAGCCUGCAAAAAUUGAAGAAAAGAAUAACGCCAAUAUCCAGUUAUCAACCUGUAUAAUUCAUUAAAGAUCAAAGUAAGUACCUCAAAACAAAGACAAUGGAAAACCUUACUAGCUAGGCAGAACUGUUGCACAGCUACAUGGAUCCUCGAGGAAGCAUAAGUCACCAGUAAAACGUCUUUACGAUGAUACAUUCCAUGUUGCACAAAAGGUGCACAAUUCUUACAGGUGAAAGGCUGGUAUUGAUGAAUAGAAAACUGCACAUACAACAAUACUUGAUGCCUUGGUAUAAAGUCUUACUCGCUGCCACUAAUACUGGAGGGCAGCCUUUAUAAACAUUUGACAAGGUAAACCCUUACAUAUAACCCCAAAAGACCCAAGUACAAAUGCUUAAUAGGGAUAAUAUAAUACAGUGGCUGGCCAUUGUCAACCCAACUCAUACUGGUAUAAUACUAGAAUACAUGAUAUAUUCAUUACAAUAUUGAUGAAAUGUAGGCAACUAAGACAUUGGUUAAUAUAUGCAUAUAAUGAAUUGGUAAAUAAAAUAGACUUUGCUUAAAAUACUACUGAAGUAUUGCUGGAAAAUUGCAAAAAUAUAAUGGCAUAUGAGUUCUUGAUAGACAUUUUAGGCAUUUGCAAUUUAAUAUGUGUUUAAGAAAUUUUACAUAACCCCAUUGAUUCCGGGACAAUAGAGUUGCAUGUUUCAAGUUGAUCAAAAAUUUCACUGAUUUUAGUGCAGUCUUGCUUUUCAAGAGAAACCCAAAAGUGACCAAGAGCUCAACAUCUUCCAUGGAAUAUAUAAUGUCACCAAAGCCAGUGAGUUAUCCUUCAUAUAUGGCAUUAUAAUCUCCUUUAGUUUGAGCCAUUUGGAUGUCUUAGAGUAGGACAUAGUUCAACUGUAAUACAUGUGUAGAUUUAAAUAAACCAAUCAAUGUUACUGUGAUGUCCAAUCUAAAUUAAAGUGUUCAUAAGCUGUUGAAGAUCAAUGGUUAAAAUCAAGAAUCUAUCUGAGAAGGCCGAGUGCAAACCGCAAAAUAAUACUAACACAUGUGAGGGAUAAUAUAUAUACAUAUCUUAAUAUAUAGUUGGGCUGCAUUGGAAGACAAAAGCUGUUUCUGAAAUAAUCUGAGUCGCUUGGUAGAUGGAUUAAAAAUGUGAGCCUGGUGAGAAGCUGAUUCCCAUACCAGACAUUACUCCCUGGAGAACUACCUCAUAACUUCAUGAUUUAAUAUUAAUUGUUGUAGACAUAAGCUUAUCAUGUUCAGAAUCAUUAACUUAAAAUUAACCAUUUAUGGAAAUAUUGUGCAUGCCAUAGAAAAUGGAACUUGUUGGUAUCAUAAGAGUUUAUUAGCCAAUAAGAAUGGUUAAAAAUGUAAUGAUAAUUAGUACUAAAAAAGAGAGCAAUAUCUAUGCCGUAAAGAUUCAUACACAAUCAUUGCAUUAUCCACCAUUCAUGUCAAUGAUGAUUGAAAAAAUGACAGUGUAAUACAUAGAUAUUUUUCUCUUCCAAAAAUCUUAGACUUAUGAGAAAUGCACUAAAAUGAAUGUGAAGUUAUGUAUUGAGAAUCAUGUACCUUCAUGUGGCAUGAAAGGUAAUUAUGACGGAGAUAGUAGAAAGAGUAUUCAACGAGGGAAGGAGAAACACAACACACCCCGCGAGGGGAGAGUGGGGCCAAUAAAAAAAAGAAAGUGGCCGCCGAAAACUCUCCCCUCGCAACAACAAACUAAUAAUUUUAUUGAUUUUCUUUUGACCUGCCAAGCAAGCGCACCGGACAUGGCAAAGGUCUAGUAGUAACAAAAUAUAACAAUCAACGUAACAAGUACCUUACGAGUCUACGACUGUAUCAGUAUGCAUAACACGAGGUCUCUCUCACAGACAUAACUUCACACUGUAUAAGAUAAUAAUCUCCUAAAGGAUCGUACCGAUACAAUCGAAAUUAUACAAUCAAUCUCGCGUUAUUUGAACAAUUCCUUCACUAGGUGAAACCAAUUUCUCUGUUCUCGAACUAGAAGCAGAACUACUCAUCCAGAUCCAAUGUAAAAAUACAAAAUCCAUGUCGGUUAACGACGCAAUCAAGACCUGUAAAAAUUCGACAUAUUCAGAUCCAAUAAUAAGACAAGAAAUAAGAACCGGACUCGAAAAUUCGCAGAUCCAAAACUCACCUUAUCAAAAUCAAAACCAGAUCGAAGUAUUCCUCGCCUACGUCAAAUAAAUUUCUUCAUCCCUGAACGAGAACGAUUCCGUGAAAUCGAGAGCGAGAAUUCGAGCGGAUCUUGCAAAGAAUCAUCGCUUAAAACGUGAUCAAGGUUCAAUUCGCGGUGAUUUGACCGAGUCAGAUGGCGCCUAAUAGGGUUUCCCGCGAUGAGGGGGAUAUGAGGGGUUAUGGUGAUUUAUAUAGUGGAGUUUGAUGAAAAAGGUUUAACUCGCUCAUAAUACACCGUUGGUAUAGACGGUGAUAGGAAAUCGCAUCAGUUCAUUUUAAUCAAAUAAAACACUGAAUGGGUAGGUAAUGUAUUUGCGGUCACAAAGAAAGGAAGGUUCUCGAUAAACUAUAUAUUUUUGCCUCACACCGUGAGACGUGUUUCGCGUGUCGUUCUUUGAGGCCAG
rnacentral:lncRNA from 1 species